CGACCGCCCGCGCGCUCAUGCGGGCCGAGGCCACACGGACAGCCGGGUCGGAUGCCGA
ncrna:unclassified sequences Streptococcus sRNA SpF59 (ldcC RNA)